UACAGGGGGGGCAAGCGUUGUUCGGAAUUACUGGGCGUAAAGGGCCCGUAGGUGGCCAACUAAGUCAGACGUGAAAUCCCUCAGCUUAACUGGGGAACUGCGUCUGAUACUGGAUGGCUUGAGUUUGGGAGAGGGAUGCGGAAUUCCAGGUGUAGCGGUGAAAUGCGUAGAUAUCAGGAGGAACACCCGUAGCGAAGGCGGCACUCUGGGCCGGAACUGACGCUGAGGAGCGAAAGCGUGGGGAGCGAACAGG
rnacentral:rRNA from 1 species